rnacentral:rRNA from 1 species
UGGGAUGGGUGACCUCCCGGGAAGUCCCGGUGCUGCACCCUC